rnacentral:lncRNA from 1 species
ACUUUCCAAAUCUAAAAUACAUUAUCUAUGUCGUCUUACGUACCUUUUGUCUUUGCAACUCACUUUUUGCACACCAUCCCCUCUCCUCCUUUAAUGGCAAUAAUUAGUCUUUUGCCGUCAAAAAAAUCUUUGAAUUAACAUAAAAUUUCAGUUAUUUUCUGAUUAAGUAAAUCAAAGGUACUGGACAGAAUUAGAACAUUCGGUUAAUAACCGAACCGAAUCCAUAUUUCGGUUAUAACCGAAAACCGAAUUUAGACUGUUUAGAAUAUCCGAACAACUACCCGAAUUACAUGAUAACCGAACUAAUUAUUCGGUUAUUCGGUUAAUAACCGAAUUUAACAGGUGAGCUCCAAUAGUUUGUUGCAAGCAAUAAAUUGGUUAGGUUAGUAUAUAAGCCAUUGCUAGUUCCCCAAUUUUGCUUCUAAUUCGAAUAUGACUUUCAAAUACCCAUAAUUAAUUCCAUCUCAGGUCAUAUGCCAAUAAUUAAACCAUUUGCUCCUCCUUUCUAAAUUCCAACCCAAAAUAGUGGAAGAUAAAAGAGAUGUACAGGAACAACAUUAUAUUACAAUCUGCAACUCAUGAGAUGCUAUUUCAGUUUACCAAACUUCUUCCCUUUAUUGUUAUGCUCUACCCUGGGGCCUGGAACAUCAGUGAAACACAUUCUUUUCAUCUAUAUUCGCCACUAGUUGUACAAGAAGAAUUCUAAUUAUAAAUUUUUUAAGUAAAGAAGCAAAGACUAGAGUAUUUGCAGGUACAAACCGUAUCGUAGCUCCGAAUCUCGUAGCCUUAGUCGUCGGAAAAGGGGCCGAAUCUCGUAGCUCCGAACUGAGUUUGAGAGAGAGAUGAAGAGUUUGACAGAUCUGAGUUUGACAGAUCUGAGUUUGAGAGAUCUCGUAUCUCCGACCCUCUUCGUUGCCUUAGUCGUCGGAAAAGGGGCUGAAUCUCGUAGCUCCGAACUGAGUUUGAGAGAGAGAGAUGAAGAGUUUGAGAGAUCUGAGUUUGACAGAUCUGAGUUUGAGAGAUCUCGUAGCUCCGACCCUCUUCGUCGCCUUAGUCGUCGGUGUGACAGAUCUGAGUUUGAGAGAGACAGGGUCGUGCCUGAAGAGAGGUGUGACGGAUCUGAGUUUGAGACUUGAGAAGGGUUUGAGAGAAUUCAAGAUCUGAGUCUGGGGCUAUCGGGAUUCGGGAGUGAGUAGUGCUUUUGUUCGGUUUAGUAAAUAUUUCGACUUUGCUUAGCUUGUUCGGUUAUUCGGUUUAUCCGAACAAAAAUAAAACUUGUAAAACCUAACCGAAAAUCGUAAUAAAUUUCGGGUAUAACUGAAAUGUUAAAAAAAAUUGAAUUAUCAGAAAAUUUUGGUUAAAUUAUUUUGGUUCGGUUCGGUUAUUCUGUUAUGCCCAUAAUUUUUUGCUCAAUCCUAGACAGAAUCCAAGGUAUUGAAAAUUUCAAAUUUGAAGGAACAAAACAAUUUGAAAGAUUAAGGAAGAAGGAGAGAUGAGAGAUAACAAACGGACCCGUUCUUAAAAAUUCUCGUUUAAUACUAUCAUUUAACUAUGCAUUCAAUCACUUCCACUUUAUGAGAAGUUGAAAAUUAUUAAUACAAGUGAGAGAAUUUCUU